rnacentral:rRNA from 1 species
UGGGGAAUUUUGCGCAAUGGGCUAACGCCUGACGCAGCAACGCCGCGUGGAGGAUGAAGGUCUUUGGAUUGUAAACUCCUGUCAGCAGGGAAAAAGGGAGGGGACCUAAUACGUCCUUGACUUGAUUGUACCUGCAGAGGAAGCCCCGGCUAACUCUGUGCCAGCAGCCGCGGUAAUACAGAGGGGGCAAGCGUUAUUCGGAAUUAUUGGGCGUAAAGGGCGCGUAGGCGGCUUUUCAAGUGACGGGUGAAAUCCCUCGGCUUAACCGAGGAACUGCCUGUCAGACUGGAAGGCUUGAGACCGGGAGAGGUGAGUGGAAUUCCCAGUGUAGCGGUGAAAUGCGUAGAUAUUGGGAGGAACACCAGUGGCGAAGGCGGCUCACUGGACCGGAACUGACGCUGAGGCGCGAAAGCGUGGGGAGCAAACAGGAUUAGAUACCCUGGUAGUCCACGCCGUAAACGAUGAGUGCUUGGUGUAGCGGGUAUCGACCCCUGCUGUGCCGAAGU